GCCUGUGGCCCCGGCCCGCCCGUGGUCAGUUUUGAUGUGGGCCUGGGGGUCCUGCUCGGAGCGGGCUCCGCCCGGGGCCGCUCGUCCUGACAGAAAACGUUAACAAGCGCGCGCACUGCGCGCGGGCGUCUCCUGCAGCGAUCCUGACCCGAGGCCACGGAUUCCGUAGUGAGUUUACGGCUUCAUAGCAUGGUUUUAAUUUAGUCACCUCAAAGAUUUGCGUUCCUCAGACUUGCAAGCCGCCCGCCCGCUCCCCUCCCCGGAGCGCCCCGUCGCCGCCCCCCGCCCCCGGAGGAAGUUUCUCUUGUAAAGAGCGCGGCGGCCACUGGGGAAGCUGAGCAGCAAAGGCAGAGCGCGAGAGGCAGAGAUGAAAUGGAGAGAAACCUGUUCAGUCGGAAGCCAGGGUGUUUCCUUUUUCAUGAGUGUUUUCAGGCAUGUGUGAUCUUAGCUCCUCCACCAGGGAUCAAACUCCUGCCCUCUGCAGUGGAAGCUCAGAGUCCUAACCACUGGAGCACCAGGUGUCCAGUGUAAUAAUUUGGUAUUUGCCCGUACUAUGAAAUGAUUAUCACAGUAAGUCUAGCUAAGACGACUGCAGCGUGUCAGGGUGCAUUCUCCAGAACGAUUGAAAAAGCUCUUGGAAGCAACAUGACCAAGGCCUGCCUUCAACCCACAAGCAGGAAAGGCUGUGAGGUCCAGCCCCUGCUUCUCAGAUCAGGUCUGCACAUCCCUCUGCAGACAGCAAGGGGAUACAGACAGGAGCGUCUGGGAAGAGGAUGAAUCUGAAGCCUUUUCUGGAGUGGCAGCUUUACUUGAGGGAGGGAGAGAGGGAGAGUCAAUGACAUUAAAGUAAA